AUCUCUUGGUUCCGGCAUCGAUGAAGAACGCAGCGAAAUGCGAUACGUAAUGUGAAUUGCAGAAUUCAGUGAAUCAUCGAGUCUUUGAACGCACAUUGCGCCCUCUGGUAUUCCGGAGGGCAUGCCUGUCCGAGCGUCAUUGCUGCCCUCAAGCACGGCUUGUGUGUUGGGCCCCGCCCCCCGAUCCCGGGGGGCGGGCCCGAAAGGCAGCGGCGGCACCGCGUCCGGUCCUCGAGCGUAUGGGGCUUUGUCACCCGCUCUGUAGGCCCGGCCGGCGCUUGCCGAUCAACCAAACUUUUUUCCAGGUUGACCUCGGAUCAGGUAGGGAUACCCGCUGAACUUAAGCAUAUCAAUAAGCGGAGGAAAAGAAACCAACAGGGAUUGCCCCAGUAACG
rnacentral:rRNA from 1 species